GUCCUAGCCGUAAACGAUGCACAUUAGACGUGAGGGGUAUCGACCCCCUUCGUGUCGACGCUAACGCAAUUAAAUGUGCCGCCUGGGGAGGUACGGCCGCAAGGUUGAAAACUCAAAAGGAAUUGACGGGGCCCGCACAAGCGGUGGAGCAUGUGGUUUAAUUCGACGCAACGCGAAGAACCUUACCUAGGCUUGAACUGUUGGAAGUAGAAUUAAUGAAAGUUGAGACGACCUGUUAAAGUCAGGAACCAAUAGAGGUGCUGCAUGGCUGUCGU
rnacentral:rRNA from 1 species